CAGCAGUAGCCGCGGGAAUACGUAGGGUGCAAGCGCUAAUCGGAAUUACUGGGCGUAAAGCGUGCGCAGGCGGUUCGUUAAGACAGAUGUGAAAUCCCCGGGCUUAACCUGGGAACUGCAUUUGUGACUGGCGGGCUAGAGUAUGGCAGAGGGGGGUAGAAUUCCACGUGUAGCAGUGAAAUGCGUAGAGAUGUGGAGGAAUACCGAUGGCAAAGGCAGCCCCCUGGGCCAAUACUGACGCUCAUGCACGAGAGCGUGGGGAGCAAACAGGAUUAGAUACCCCUGUAGUCCCUGUCUCUUAUAC
rnacentral:rRNA from 1 species